UGACAACCUGGUUGAUCCUGCCAGUAGUCAUAUGCUUGUCUCAAAGAUUAAGCCAUGCAUGUCUCAGUACAAGCCAAAUUAAGGUGAAACCGCGAAAGGCUCAUUAAAUCAGUUAUGGUUCCUUAGAUCGUACCAACAUUUACUUGGAUAACUGUGGUAAUUCUAGAGCUAAUACAUGCAAACAGAGCUCCGACCGGAGACGGAAGGAGCGCUUUUAUUAGAUCAAAACCAAUCGGCGGCGUGCUCGCUUGCGGGCACGUCGUCGUUCGCAUUGACGAAUCUGAAUAACUUUCUGCUGAUCGCACGGUCUCGCACCGGCGACGCAUCUUUCAAAUGUCUGCCUUAUCAACUGUCGAUGGUAGGUUCUGUGCCUACCAUGGUUGUAACGGGUAACGGGGAAUCAGGGUUCGAUUCCGGAGAGGGAGCCUGAGAAACGGCUACCACAUCCAAGGAAGGCAGCAGGCGCGCAAAUUACCCACUCCCGGCACGGGGAGGUAGUGACGAAAAAUAACGAUACGGGACUCAUCCGAGGCCCCGUAAUCGGAAUGAGAACAAUUUAAAUCCUUUAACGAGGAUCAAUUGGAGGGCAAGUCUGGUGCCAGCAGCCGCGGUAAUUCCAGCUCCAAUAGCGUAUAUUAAAGUUGUUGCGGUUAAAAAGCUCGUAGUCGAAUCUGUGUCCCGCGCCGCCGGUUCGUCGCUCGCGGCGUUUAACUGGCGUGUCCGCGGGACGUCCUGCCGGUGGGCUUAGACCUCUCGCGAGGUCGGCCCAAUCAUAAUCCCGCCGCGGUGCUCUUCACCGAGUGUCGAGGCGGGCCGGCACGUUUACUUUGAACAAAUUAGAGUGCUUAAAGCAGGCUAAAACUUCGCCUGAAUACUUCGUGCAUGGAAUAAUGGAAUAGGACCUCGGUUCUAUUUUGUUGGUUUUCGGAACCCCGAGGUAAUGAUUAAUAGGAACGGAUGGGGGCAUUCGUAUUGCGACGUUAGAGGUGAAAUUCUUGGAUCGUCGCAAGACGGACAGAAGCGAAAGCAUUUGCCAAAAACGUUUUCAUUGAUCAAGAACGAAAGUUAGAGGUUCGAAGGCGAUCAGAUACCGCCCUAGUUCUAACCAUAAACGAUGCCAGCUAGCGAUCCGCCGACGUUCCUCCGAUGACUCGGCGGGCAGCUUCCGGGAAACCAAAGCUUUUGGGUUCCGGGGGAAGUAUGGUUGCAAAGCUGAAACUUAAAGGAAUUGACGGAAGGGCACCACCAGGAGUGGAGCCUGCGGCUUAAUUUGACUCAACACGGGAAACCUCACCAGGCCCGGACACCGGAAGGAUUGACAGAUUGAGAGCUCUUUCUUGAUUCGGUG
rnacentral:rRNA from 1 species